rnacentral:rRNA from 1 species
AGAGUUUGAUUAUGGCUCAGGAUGAACGCUGGCGGUGUGCCUAAUACAUGCAAGUCGAACGAGGAGCCUUUUUACUUGUAUUCGUACUCGUAAAGAGGAUUUCCUAGUGGCGAACGGGUGAGUAUCGCGUUGGUGACCUGCCCCAAAGAGAGGAAUAACAGUUUGAAAAGACUGCUAAUACCUCAUGUUGUCAUGGUUUUUAGAAAUCCAUGUCUAAAGGAGACUUGUCUUCGCUUUGGGAGGGGCCUGCGUCCCAUCAGCUAGUUGGUAAGGUAAUGGCUUACCAAGGCUACGACGGGUAGGGGACCUGAGAGGGUGGCCCCCCACAAUGGAACUGAAACACGGUCCAUACACCUACGGGUGGCAGCAGUAGGGAAUAUUGCACAAUGGGCGAAAGCCUGAUGCAGCAACACCGCGUGUGCGAUGAAGGCCUUCGGGUCGUAAAGCACUUUUUGAGAGGAUGAGAAAGGACAGUACUCUCAGAAUAAGUCUCGGCUAACUACGUGCCAGCAGCCGCGGUAACACGUAGGAGGCAAGCGUUAUCCGGAUUUACUGGGCGUAAAGCGCGUGCAGGUGGUCAAGUAAGUUGGAUGUGAAAUCUCCCGGCUCAACUGGGUGAGGUCGUUCAAAACUGCUAGACUAGAGGACGGUAGAGGAAAGUGGAAUUCCCGGUGUAGUGGUGAAAUGCGUAGAUAUCGGGAGGAACACCAGUGGCGAAAGCGACUUUCUGGCCCGUUCCUGACACUAAGACGCGAAAGCUAGGGUAGCAAACAGGAUUAGAGACCCUGGUAGUCCUAGCCGUAAACGAUGUC